ensembl:lncRNA
UCUAGAAAUCAUUUGAAUGCGGUAGGAAAACUGUGGGCAUGGAGUCAGAACAAAGUAUCUUUUGGAGUGCUUUUUCAGGUCUAAAAUUCUUUGCCAGAAAUGUUCUUUAAUGGAACCUCUGGACUGGGUAGGAAAACAGGGCAUAGUAUUUUUUUAAAAGGCAUGAGUAGGAAUGAAAUAAAUGCAGUCCAAAGGGGGAAUGCAAGACAACGCAAUCUGAGGAAACUCUGAUUUAGGGUAAACCCUCCAAAGGUAAACCUUUCAGCGAGGCUAUUAGCUAAGCGCAUGGACUGCAGAUUCGUAUUACUGAAAAUUAGGAGCGGUGGUUUGGGACGUGCUGGUUUCUCAGAGGGAUGGUCACAGAGGUUCCAACGAGGAGGUGUCGCCUGGCCACAGGAAGCGCCCAGGUUCCGCGUCUCUCCAUUUGCGCAGCUCCUGCGGGGCCCUCCCACUGCGGACUCCAGUUUCAACCCUGAUACCCACUUUGUGCAGGGUUUGCUAGAACUAGGAUGUCAGAAAACCAUUAAGGCAGGAUCGAUCUACAAGAGGAACAGCUUUUCUCUUGCCCCAGCCAUGUGGCUCUGCUGGCCCUGCCCACCUGGACACACCUGAUUAUCCCAGCAUAAGCAGCUGACAAGGCUGAACCAAGGCGUCUGUGUCUGGGCGUCUUCCGACUUUGCACCAGGACAAUGUUUGGCAGUGUCUCUCUUCAGUGCUGAGGUGGUCAGAUGGAAAGCCCAGAAGCUGUUGGCAGUCACCUUCUAUGGAAAAAGCCUGGCGCAGCAAGAAGGAUGCACACACAGAGAACUUGCUUGGCUUCAUGGGGCCAGAUCCUAGUCCUCUUGAGACCCAGACACAUUUUUUUGUCUUACAUUUCUUUCUUUUAAAAUUAUACUUGGGCUGGGCACGGUGGCUCAAGCCUGUAAUCCCAGCACUUUGGGAGGCCGAGGUGGGUGGAUCAAGAGGUCAAGAGAUCGAGACCAUCCUGAUCAACAUGGUGAAAUCCCGUCUUUACUAAAAAUACAAAAAAUUAGCUGGACAUGGUGGUGCGUACCUGUAAUCCCAGCUGUUCAGGAGGCCGAGGCAGGAGAAUUGCCUGAACCCAGGAGGCAGAGGUUGCAGUGAGCUGAGAUCACACCAUUGCACUCCAGCCUGGGUAACAAGAACUAAACGCCGUCUCAAAAAAAAAAAAAAAAAAAAAAAAAAAAAAAAAUUUAAGUUCUGGGAUACAUGUGCAGAACUUGCAGGUUUGUUACAUGGGUAUACACGUGCCAUGGUGGUUUGCUGCACCCAUCAAGCCAUCAUCUACAUUAGGUAUUUCUCCUAAUGCUAUCCUUCCCCUAGCCUCCAACCCCCUGACAGGCCAUGGUGUGUGAUGUUCCCCUCCCUGUGUCCAUGUGUUCUCAUUGUUCAACUCCCACUUAUGAAUGAGAAAUGCAGUGUUUUGUUUUCUGUUCCUGUGUUAGUUUGCUUACUGGUUUCCAACUUCAUCCAUGUCCCUGCAAAGGACAUGAACUCAUCCUUUUUUAUGGCUGCAUAGUAUUCCAUGGUGUAUAUGUGCCACAUUUUCUUUAUCCAGUCUAUCAUUGAUAGGCAUGUGGGUUGGUUUCAAGUCUUUGCUAUUGUGAAUCGUGCUGCAAUAAACAUACAUGUGCAUGUGUCAAAUUGCUGGAUCAAAUGAUAUUUCUGGUUCUAGAUCCAUGAGGAAUUACCACACUGUCUUCCACAAUGGUUGAACUAAUCUACACUCCCACCAACAGUGUAAAAGCAUUCCUAUUUCUCCACACCCUCUCCA